CAAAGGUUUGGUCCUAGCCUUAUUAUCAAUUAUCUUUUAACUUACACAUGCAAGUCUCAGCACACCCGUGAGGACGCCCUUUACCCCUACCCCAGGCUUAGGAGCUGGUAUCAGGCGCAACUUUUACGCCCAUAACACCUAGUCCCACCACACCCCCAAGGGUACUCAGCAGUGAUAAACAUUGUCUAUAAGCGCCAGCUUGACCCAGUUAUAAAGAAGAGGGCCGGCCAACUUGGUGCCAGCCGCCGCGGCUAGACCAACUGGACUCAAAUUGAUAAUUCCCGGCGUUAAGCGUGAUUAAAGCCACACACCAAUUAGAGUUAAACCUAUGUUGAGCAGUGAAAAGCACACGAUAGGGAAACCCAGAAACGAAAGUUACUCUAAUCUCUGCUUGAAUACACGACAGCUAGA
rnacentral:rRNA from 1 species